UGCCACAGCCAUAUCACCCUGCAGCCCAAGACUGGUUGCCCACUGAAGCUAAGCAGGGUUGAGCCUGGUCAGUACCUGGAUGGGAGACCUCCUGGGAAAAUUAGGUUGCUGUUGGAA
rnacentral:rRNA from 1 species